AUUUAAAUAGUUUAUUAGAAUAUGAUAUUGAAGAUAUCAAGGGGAUGUUGCAUCUUUAAGUA
rnacentral:tRNA from 1 species